rnacentral:rRNA from 1 species
UACGAAGGGGGCUAGCGUUGCUCGGAAUCACUGGGCGUAAAGGGUGCGUAGGCGGGUCUUUAAGUCAGGGGUGAAAUCCUGGAGCUCAACUCCAGAACUGCCUUUGAUACUGAAGAUCUUGAGUUCGGGAGAGGUGAGUGGAACUGCGAGUGUAGAGGUGAAAUUCGUAGAUAUUCGGAAGAACACCAGUGGCGAAGGCGGCUCACUGGCCUGGUAUUGACGCUGAGGUGCGAAAGCGUGGGGAGCAAACAGG